UACGUAGGGUGCGAGCGUUAUCCGGAAUUAUUGGGCGUAAAGAGCUUGUAGGCGGUCUGUCGCGUCUGCUGUGAAAAUCCGGGGCUCAACCCCGGACUUGCAGUGGGUACGGGCAGACUAGAGUGUGGUAGGGGAGACUGGAAUUCCUGGUGUAGCGGUGAAAUGCGCAGAUAUCGCUUGGAACGCCAAUGGUGAAAACAGCUUGCUGGGGGUGUGCUGACGCUGAGACACGAAAGCCAGGGGAGCAAACGGG
rnacentral:rRNA from 1 species